GAUGAACGCUAGCUACAGGCUUAACACAUGCAAGUCGAGGGGUAACAAGAGAAAAGCUUGCUUUUCUUGUUGACGACCGGCGCACGGGUGAGUAACGCGUAUCCAACCUGCCUAUAACUAGGGAAUAACCUUGCGAAAGUAAGACUAAUGCCCUAUGACUUCCUCUGAUGACAUCAGAUUAGGAAUAAAGAUUUAUCGGUUAUCGCUGGGGAUGCGUCUGAUUAGCUUGUUGGCGGGGUAACGGCCCACCAAGGCAACGAUCAGUAGGGGUUCUGAGAGGAAGGACCCCCACAUUGGAACUGAGACACGGUCCAAACUCCUACGGGAGGCAGCAGUGAGGAAUAUUGGUCAAUGGGCGGAAGCCUGAACCAGCCAAGUAGCGUGCAGGAUGACGGCCCUAUGGGUUGUAAACUGCUUUUAUACAGGGAUAAAGUUAGCCACGUGUGGUUAUUUGCAGGUACUGUAUGAAUAAGGACCGGCUAAUUCCGUGCCAGCCGCCGCAGUAA
rnacentral:rRNA from 1 species